CACAUACCACUAGUCAAAUCAGGGGAAGAUAACCAGUGAAUUCAGCUAAAACGAAUGCUGAUUAAGAGCCUGUAUUCACACCGUACACGAUUGUUCAACAUUCUUUCCAGCUGACAUUUCAAUAAUAACUCACGAAGCCUUCAAGACAAAAAUAAUGAAGACAAGAGAGUUAAAGAAGCAGCUGUGGCAUUGCUGAUCAGAGAAAGAGAUUUAUCAUUUUUGGUAGACAAUUCCAUACAACAUUUAGAUCAUUUAGACAACAAGGCAGAAGAUGAAGAAACUAUUGAUAAGAAAUACCUAUUCUUGUUACACAUCAAGACCAAGGAAUUUUGGAGUAUGGUACAUGCAGAGGUGAAAUGUCUUAUUUGGACUGUCAUGGAGAUUCUGUGCACUUGUGCAUUACAGAAAGGUAGGCUUGAAUUGAUGGAGAGGUCUUAAAAUUUAUGUUCUGACUUAUCUUCAGGUUACUCAGAAGAAAAAUACUUUUUUUUGAGGAACGUCCUCAGCUGAAACAUCAAACUUUUGCAACAACGAACUUGUCAAGACCUUUAUUAAACGUAAUAUAAGAAAAUCUUUGCAUGCUGUCUUAAA